rnacentral:rRNA from 1 species
UACAGAGGAUGCAAGCGUUAUCCGGAAUGAUUGGGCGUAAAGCGUCUGUAGGUGGCUUUUUAAGUCCGCCGUCAAAUCCCAGGGCUCAACUCUGGACAGGCGGUGGAAACUACCAAGCUGGAGUACGGUAGGGGCAGAGGGAAUUCUCGGUGUAGCGGUGAAAUGCGUAGAUAUCGAGAGGAACACCAGAGGUGAAGACGGGUUGCUGGGCCGACACUGACGCUGACAGCGCGAAAGCCAGGGGAGCAAACGGG